rnacentral:rRNA from 1 species
CAGGAGCUCAAGAUCCUGCGCCGGAGGGUUUGUCUCUUUUUGCCCGCCCUUCCACCUUUAUAUUAGUUUGGGUUGGUCGCUCAGAACGAACGCGGGCGGCAUGCGUAACACAUGCAAGUCGAACGAGACCUUCGGGUCUAGUGGCGCACGGGUGCGUAACGCGUGGGAAUCUGCCCUUGGGUUCGGAAUAACAGUUGGAAACGACUGCUAAUACCGGAUGAUGACGUAAGUCCAAAGAUUUAUCGCCCAGGGAUGAGCCCGCGUAGGAUUAGCUAGUUGGUGGGGUAAAGGCCUACCAAGGCGACGAUCCUUAGCUGGUCUGAGAGGAUGAUCAGCCACACUGGGAGUGAGACACGGCCCAGACUCCUACGGGAGGCAGCAGUGGGGAAUAUUGGACAAUGGGCGAAAGCCUGAUCCAGCAAUGCCGCGUGAGUGAUGAAGGCCUUAGGGUUGUAAAGCUCUUUUACCCGGGAUGAUAAUGACAGUACCGGGAGAAUAAGCCCCGGCUAACUCCGUGCCAGCAGCCGCGGUAAUACGGAGGGGGCUAGCGUUGUUCGGAAUUACUGGGCGUAAAGCGCACGUAGGCGGCUUUGUAAGUUAGAGGUGAAAGCCUGGAGCUUAACUCCAGAACUGCCUUUAAGACUGCAUCGCUUGAAUCCAGGAGUGAGAGGU